rnacentral:rRNA from 1 species
GACGAACGCUGGCGGCGUGCCUAAUACAUGCAAGUCGAGCGAAGAUUUUCUGGUUCUUGCGCCGGAACAACUUAGCGGCGCACGGGUGAGAAACACGUAAAGAACCUGCCUUAUAGACUGGGACUACUAUUGGAAACGAUAGCUAAUACCGGAUAACAGCAUUAACUGCAUGGUUGAUGUUUGAAUGUUGGUUUUGCUAACACUAUGAGAUUGCUUUGCGGUGUAUUAGCUAGUUGGUGGGGUAAAGCCCUACCAAGGCGACGAUGCAUAGCCGACCUGAGAGGGUGGUCGCCCACCCUGGGAGUGAGACAGGCCCCAGACUCCUGAGGGAGGCACCAGUAGGGAAUCUGACGCAAUGGGCGAAAGCAUGACGGAGCAACGCCGCGUGAGUGAAGAAAGAGUUCGGUUCGUAAAGCUCUGUUGUUAGGGAAGAAUGACUGUGUAGUAACAAGACACGGUAGUGACGGUACCGAGCCAAAAAGCAACGGCUAACUACGUG